rnacentral:piRNA from 1 species
UGUAACAUUGAACAAGGAUGCUACCGGUUUA